ensembl:lncRNA
CCAAAACAUUCAUGAGUCCCACCUCGGGCUAAGCUGGCGGGGCGGGGGAGGAGCACACGACCUCCUGAAGUGGCUCCAGUCUGGUCACCAGUGAAGAAGGAGCCGACCCUGAACACACCCUGGAACCAGAAUCGGCCCCUGGAUGCCAGAUUUCCGGCAGAGAAAAGGGUAGCCAUGGUGGGGCCAGCCCAGGAGACUCUCUCCCCAUCCCAGUCCCAUGGGAAUACACCGCUCCAGGUCCUGUCGUUCUAAGUGUAGCUUCCUGUGGCCCAAGCCUCCCACCAUAUCUGCCAGGAAAACACUCCUCCCCAGGACCUGCAUCUUCUUGUCUGCCUGUACCUCCUGCUGCCCUGCCUGCCCAUCCAGCCCUGGGAUGGACCCACCGGCCCUAGCAUCUCCAUGGGAGAGACAGUCCACCUGGAGGUGUCUGCAGAAACCAGAUAACAGGUAAGAUGGAGAGUUAACAGCGGCACUCGCCCCUGCCCGGUCCCGACAGGUAGGAAAUCCUGGCCGUACAGUCUGGCCUCCGCGAGCACAGCAGGAUGUGAGCAGGCCGGGGCCUGCAGCCCAG